AUGAACAACCUCUUUGCCCUGGCUCAGGCAACGUCUGCCUUAUCAUUAGUAAGGGACUGCCCUGAACUCCAACGAGAGUCUCUUGUAAUAUUCUCACACCUAGUUGUUUUCAAUUACUUCAACUUUUUUCCAAAACCAAUCUGCAGAAUGUCAGAGCCUGAGACAACUGGAGCGAUACUCUUCACUCCCUGCAUUAUUUUACAGAUGAGGGAACGGAGACUUAGAGAGGAAGAACCUGUCCAAGAUGGUGGAGCAAAUGGCAGCCUCAGGAAGAAGAUCAUGACCAGUUCCCUGAAAGGAGCCAUCCAGAGGACACUGGAUUCUUUGGGAAAGAUCACCAAAAAAAGAAGGAAGAUGUAAACAUUUAGAAGAAAAAUCUAGAGAAUUUAAAAGUUGUCUAAUGACAUCUAGAAGCCUAGACCUCCAUAAAAGCUUACUUUCAUCUUAGAUCACCCAGAUCAUUUCAAAGAACUUGCAAGGAAGAGAACACAUAGACUCAGUGACUCAGGGGUGUGGAAUCUCCCUUUCUCUUGAGAGCACUAAGGGUUAUGUGCAUACAUAACAAUGAGGGGAAAAUUAGGGACCCAGACUGACUUGUGGUAUCAGGAAGAUAUCCAAGGUCAGAGGAGGCAAGUCUGGAAAAAUCAGGAAGGAAUUAAAGGUCACAGCAGAUAAUGAUCUGAGCCCAGAAAAAUCAGAUCAAACUGGAGUGACUGGAAGGCUCUGAAAAGUUAAAACAGAACACAUCUGGGCUUCAAGAGGUUGUAUAAUUCCAGGAUGUGGCAUUGCCAGGAGAAAUGAUUCUAAGUUGGAAGUUUUAGAGAAAUACAUUAUUUACCACUUAUUCGCUAUAUGACCUUGGACAAAUCAUUGAAUCUCUAUGCGCCCCUUCCUUUCAUUAUAAAGUGAGAAUAGUAAGGCUUAUCUUCUUGUAAGGAUUAAUAUAUGCAAAAUGUCUGGAAUAGAUCUUGAUUGAUAGGUGCUCAAAAAUUAUAUGAUUAUUUCUAAGACUGAAGCUCUUUCACAUCAGGAAACCUUGUUCCUCUCUCUAUGUGCUUCUACUGUAACCUAAUAUGCUCUCAGUGCUGCUUCAGAGAAAGGAUAAAGCUACUACUACCUCCCCUCCCCCCACCUCCUACCUUCACACUCUUCACAUGCCUCGACUCGUCUCUGCUAACUCAAAACAUUUAGAGACAGAUGAUGGCAUCUGUACAUAUGUGGCUCGGCUUGAAAUUUCUUACUGACCUUGACUGUAAGAGUGACCAGGAUAGGGAAGAACCUCAAAAUCAUAUCAUAUGAGGAUUGAAUUCACAGUGGAGAAAAACGGGGAAAUUUCAUUUGGAACAGAAAUGAUAAAAAUCAAGGACUAUAUGAUAGCCGUCAUAAAAUAUUUGGUUCAAUUUAGGUCUAUUCUGGGGAAAUAGUGAUGUCUUUACCUCUGGGUGGCCACUUCUGGGGGAUUUGAAAAGAGAGUUCUCACGUGAGAAAGAGUGAGACUCCAAGAACCUCCAAGGUCUCUUGACUUGAGAGUCUAUGGUUUUAGGAGCACAGCUGGCCCACAUGGUGUGUGUGGCAUGGGCAAAGGUGCUGAGUUCUUAGGAAGCAGCUCUGGGCAUGGUCCAACCUUCAGGCAUGAGCCAUGCCACAAAAUUUGCUCUUGGCAUGCAGGGUUGUGGCCUUAGAAUCCUUCUUACCAUAAUUUUCUCGGCGCUGUCUUAAUGCAUUUCCUUUCCAUUCUUCUUUGUCACCAGUUGGCAAUUACACGCUACAGAAAAUGUACACAGAAGGGGUUUGUUUUGGUUACCAUGUAGCAGGGUGGGAGGGAGCUUCGGCUGGUGGCUGAUUCUUUGGGGUGACUGGGCAUGGGUUAUGGGAAUGGAGGAUGAUGUCCCUCAUCGGUUCCCAGAGAGUUGCCUCACUAGCACACUGGAGCCUGUGAAUAGUGUUUAAAUCAAUGGUCAAAGUGAAGAGGUCAGCUUAGUCCUCAUUACUCCCCAGGACUAAUUGACCUCUUCUGAAAAGGUACAUUCUUGAUUUGGUGAGACUCUUCCUCAUCCGGAAAGGCCAGUGAAGCAAAAAGAUCUAAUGUGAAAGGGUGGGGGCGAGGGGUCAAGGGUGGCAUUGAAGGGAGAGAAAGGUGCAGAGCAUUCACUAAAUCAUUUCCACCAGAACAGAGGGGAACAAAGGCAUCACCAUCCUGAGAGUGUUUGUGAAGGACUCAUACAGACCCAGCACUGCGCAGAGUCUGAUGACCUUUUCCUGCCCUGGAGAUUCUCAGUUUUGUCAUUUUGAUGAAUCUCUAAGUUGUGUUCACUGUGAGUAUCUCUGAUAGCAAGUAAGCAAUUUAACAUAAAAGGUCCUUUGAAAGAAAUGCAUAAAAAUUGAGUCAGGCUCAAUGCUGCUCCAAAGCAUGCCAUUUAUUUUCAAUUGUUCCCCCCAUCCAUCUCAGCUAUUAAGAAAGAGAGAAGGGAGAAAAUAAAAUGAAAUUAAAAGAAGCAAGACACAAAAAUGAAGUUUGAUUUCUUUCUGAAUCCACUGUUGGUGAUACAAAGCUCAGAUAUUUAUGCUACCAUCCCCCAAGAGCCAAAACAUUCAUUCAGUGUGUGGGAAUCAAAUCUCAGAGAAGUCAUGUUGAAUAUUCAAUUUGAUGCCUCCCGUGAGAGUGUAUAUUUAACAAUACAGAGCACCAUAAGAACAUCAGUUCCAAAUAAAAAGUAUAAUGUUGCCAUCCACUGACAACUUUGCUCUUUUUUCAGUGUGAUGGUAGUAAUACCAAAGAAGCAUUGAGAAUCCAUUAGUCUGCAAUUUGAUGGAAGUUCUACCCACAGGCUGUCCAGGAAACCUUACCUUUACAACUUGUUUCUAGGUCUUUCUCUCCCUUUCUUUAGUGAGGACUUUGGUUUCUAAGAGUUUUUGAGAAGUAAAAUUGGCACUGUUUAGGUGCACUGGCUAUUUAGAUAGUCACUAGCUAUGCGUGGUUAUUUAAAUUUAAAUUUACGUAUUUAAAUAAAAUUAAAACUUAGUUUCUUAGUCAUACUAGUCACCAUUCAAGUGCUCAGUAGCUGCAUGUGGAGUGGCUACCUUUUUGAAAGUUACAGGCUGGGCGCGGUGGCUCAAGCCUGUAAUCCCAGCACUUUGGGAGGCCGAGACGGGCGGAUCACGAGGUCAGGAGAUCGAGACCAUCCUGGCUAACACGGUGAAACCCCGUCUCUACUAAAAAAUACAAAAAACUGCCUGGGCGACAGAGCAAGACUCUGUCUCAAAAAAAAAAAAAAAAAAAAAAAGAAAGUUACAGAUAUAGAGCAUUUCCAUUUUCAUAGAAAGUUCUAUUGGACAGUACUGAUCUGUAGCCUUGUUUAUAGAAAGUGGGUCUUUGAAAUGUAGUUCCUUACCAUAGGAGAAGCAUGUUGUCAUCUAAAUCCCUAAAGUGGAAAUCUAAUGAGCAUAUUGACACUUCGUUUUACUUUCCUUUUUAGAGAGAGGUCAUCAAUGAAUAAGGAUGGCUUCUCCCAUAAUCUUUAGUUAAUGGUAACCAAGGACACAAGCAACAACAACAAAAAUCCCUCACCAUUGGAUAAAUGGCAUGGCCUUUCUGCUACUUAGAAGAAAAGACCCCCAUGGCUGUGCCAUUUUAUUUCCUUGGCUCUUUAAAAAAUUAUUUUAAAAGGUUUAUUUUUAUUUGACACACAAUAAUUGUACAUAUUUUUGAGGCAUAAUGUGACACUUCAAUACAUGGAUACAUUAUGUAAUGAUCAAAUCAGGGAAAUUAGCAUUUCUAUCACCUCAAACAUUUAUCAGUUCUUUGUAGUAAGGAAUAUUCAAAUUCCUGUCUUCUCACUAUUUUGAAAUAUACAAUACAUUAUUAUUAACUAUAGUCACCACACUGUGCAUUAAAAUACCAGAACUUAUUUCUUCUAUCAUGUUGCAUGAAUGAUGGGAGGAAUCACUUAUUGUAAAUGGGAGGAUUUCAUUCUUUUUUAUGACUGAAUAGUAUUUCAUUAUAUAUACACACACACACCCCCCUUCAACACAGCACACGACAUUUUCUUUCUUUCUUUUUUUUUUUUUUUUUUUUUUAGACAGGGUCUCACUCUGUUGCCCAGGCUGGAGUGCAGUGGCACCAUCAUGGCUCACUGUAGCCUCAACUUCCUGGGCACAGGUGAUUCUCUCACUUUAGCCUCCCAAAUAGUUGGGACUACAGACAUGGGUUACCAUACCCAGCUAAUUUUUUGUACUUUUAGUAGAGAUGGGAUUUCACCAUGUUGCCAAGGCUUGUCUCAAACUCCUGGGCUUAAUGAAUCCACUUGCCUCAGCUUCCCACAGUGCUAGAAUUACAGUCAUGAACCACUGUGCCUGGGCUAUACCGCAUUUUCUUUAUUCAUUCAUCCACUGAUGAACACUUAGGUUGAUUCCAUAUCUUGAUUAUUGUGAACAGUGUUGCGAUAAACACAGGAGUGCAGAUAGCUCUUCAAUAUACUGAUUUCAUUUUCUUUGGACAUAUACCUAGUAGUGAGAUUGCUGGAUCAUGAUCAUGUGAUAGUUCUAUUUUUAAUUUUUGGGGGAACCUCCUACUGUUUUCCAUAAUGUCUGUACUAAUUUCUAAUUUACAUUAUCAAAAAUAGUUCCUUUUCUCCACAUCUUUGCCAACACUUGUUAUUUCUCAACUUUUUUGAUAAUAGCCAUUCAAACUUGAGUGCAGUGUUAGCUCAUGGUUUUGAUUUGCAUGUCCCUGAUGAUUAGUGAUGUUGAGCAUUUUUUC
rnacentral:lncRNA from 1 species